rnacentral:rRNA from 1 species
UACGAAGGGGGCUAGCGUUGCUCGGAAUCACUGGGCGUAAAGGUGCGUAGGCGGGUUUUUAAGUCAGAGGUGAAAUCCUGGAGCUCAACUCCAGAACUGCCUUUGAUACUGAAAGUCUUGAGUAUGGAGAGGUGAGUGGAACUGCGAGUGUAGAGGUGAAAUUCGUAGAUAUUCGCAAGAACACCAGUGGCGAAGGCGGCUCACUGGCCCAUAACUGACGCUGAGCACGAAAGCGUGGGAGCAAACAGGGAUU